UGCUCUUAGUAACCUCAAUUAAGAGUAACUCCUGCCCAGUGAAUAAUUUCAACGGCCGCGGUAUCCUAACCGUGCAAAGGUAGCAUAAUCACUUGCCCAUUAAUUGUGGGCUAGAAUGAAAGGAUAAACGAAAUAAAUACUGUCUCUAUAAGUCAUUUAAAAAUUACCCUCUAACCGAAGAGUGUUAGAUAUAGUCGAAGGACAAGAAGACCCUAUAGAGCUUAAUUAAAUUAAAUACUAAAAAUUUACUAAAAUUCGGUUGGGGCGACCAGGGAAAUUACUUAUCAUCCCUAAACUAAAGAUAAAUCAAUCAAAAUUCUGACCCUUAUACAAGAUCAUUAAAUCAAGCUACCUUAGGGAUAACAGGCUAAUCUCACUAGAGAGUCCUUAUCAAUAGUGAGGAUUGGCACCUCGAUGUUGGCUUAGGGAAUCUCUAUGACGCAAAAGUCAUAUAAAGAUGGUUUGUUCAA
rnacentral:rRNA from 1 species